rnacentral:rRNA from 1 species
AGAACGAACGCUGGCGGCGUGGAUAAGACAUGCAAGUCGAGCGGGAUUUCCUUUAGUAGCAAUACCGAAGGAAGUCUAGCGGCGAACGGGUGCUUAACACGUGGGCAACCUGCCAAGAAGUGGGGGAUAGCUCGCCGAAAGGCGAAUUAAUACCGCAUGUGAUUAGAGUGGACAUCCAUUCGAAAUUAAAGUCGUGGCAACCUGACGCUUUUUGUGGGGCCCGCGGCCUAUCAGCUAGUUGGUGAGGUAACGGCCCACCAAGGCUUUGACGGGUAGCUGGUCUGAGAGGACGACCAGCCACACUGGGACUGAGACACGGCCCAGACACCUACGGGUGGCAGCAGUCGAGAAUUUUUCUCAAUGGGGGAAACCCUGAAGGAGCGACGCCGCGUGGAGGAUGAAGGUCUUCGGAUUGUAAACUCCUGUCAUUGGGGAACAGUCGCUUACGUUAACUGCUGAGCGUUGAUAGUACCCGAAGAGGAAGAGACGGCUAACUCUGUGCCAGCAGCCGUA